UCACAAUCAGGGCAGAAAAAACUUUGACAUGAGAUCACAGAAAUGACAGAUGGCAAUUAAGAGCCAUCAGAAAUCACCAUCACACACACAGACAAAAACAAUAACCU